AAAUUGAAGAGUUUGAUCAUGGCUCAGAUUGAACGCUGGCGGCAGGCCUAACACAUGCAAGUCGAACGGUAACAGGAAGCAGCUUGCUGCUUUGCUGACGAGUGGCGGACGGGUGAGUAAUGUCUGGGAAACUGCCUGAUGGAGGGGGAUAACUACUGGAAACGGUGGCUAAUACCGCAUAAUGUCGCAAGACCAAAGAGGGGGACCUUCGGGCCUCUUG
rnacentral:rRNA from 1 species